rnacentral:tRNA from 1 species
GGUAAUAGCUCAGUGGUAGGGCGCGUGCUUAACAUGCAUGAGGUCCUGGGUUCAAUCCCCAGUGCUUCCA